CCUCCUUUAUCCACAGUUUCACUUUCUGAGACUGCAGUUACCAAGGCAGGCCAACCUCAGGCCUAAAGCAGAUGAUCCUUCUCCUGAUGUAUAGUCAGGUCAAUUGUCUAGUGCCACAUCACAAUACAAACAUUAUCCACUUCACUUCAAGUCAUCACGUGGGCAUUUUACCAUCUCACAGCCUCACAAAAAGGCAGAUAAACAGAAACCAAUGGCAGCAGUACUGCUUAAAAUUGCCUAAGCGGGAAGCAAAAAGGGAAGUAAUCAUAAAGACAGCAAACCUGGGUGCCUCCUGGGAUUCAAGAGCAGGACCCGGACAAAGUCUCUGGAAGGACUGAGUUGGUGAUUCAUCAGCAAGCAGGUGCCUUUGGAACAUCCAUGUGUCAACAUAAAGUUUGCUGUUGUAAAUGUUUGUCUGAAACUGAAGCUGUUGUAAAUGUUUGUCUGAAACUCAUGAAAGAGGUGCAAAAAAGGUGGUUUUAUUAAAGCAUGAAGACAAGAUCCAUGGGCAGAAAGAGCUGCUAAACCAAACAUAUUUUGCAGUUACAGAAACUGAAGAAUGCUUCAGAUAAGUAAGCUGAGAAAUUAUUCGGCAGUGAUUGGUGGUAGAGUGUAAGGUGCACGCAACCAUAUAUGCCUGUCAGUGCUCUCAAGGAUACCGUGAAAAUUCUGAGGGUUGUGGGCAAAUGAGAUAAAAGGUCAUGCUGUUUCUCCAGUGUUGCUUCUGCCUCUGACAUAAGGAAUAAAUCAAUAUGGGAGUCCCAGACAGUUCAGGAGCUGCAGGCUUCAUGCAGACAUGGCCAAGUCUAAGAACUGUACCAUAGACAACCAGUCACAAAAAUGGCACAGAAACAGCAUUUUAUAAAACCCUGGUCACAAAGAUCAGAAUCUCUUAAGAGGAUAGACACUGAGUUCCUGAGGAGCAUGUUCUUUGCCAGGAAGCAUAACAAGAAGAGCCUGAAGAAGGUGCAGGACAACUCCACCAAGGCCGUGAGAGCAUGUGCUGAGGCUGUGAAGGCCCUAGUCAAGCCCAAAGAGAUCAGACCCAGCAUACUAAAUGGCUGUAGGUGUAAGCUCAGUCAACUUGCCUACAUUGCUCACCCCAAGCUUAGGAAACGUGUGGGUGCUGUAUUGCCAAGGGUCUCAAACUUUGGCCUCAACCAGCCAAAGGCCAAGGCUCUAACCAAGGCCCAGGCUAUGCCUGUGGCUCAGGUUCCCAAAGGUGCUCCCAAUCCCCCAUAAAGGCUCUAGUGUAGACGCUUGUGUCUGCCAAUGUGAGGAUACGAGUUCUGGUGUUACACCCACCCCCUCCCUGGGCUUCUGCUUGCGUGGGGCUAGUAUCCUGUGCUAUUUGUACAAAGAAACAUGAGACAGGAUCUGU